rnacentral:rRNA from 1 species
AACGAACGCUGGCGGCAGGCUUAACACAUGCAAGUCGAGCGAAUCAAUGGGAGCUUGCUCCCUGAGAUUAGCGGCGGACGGGUGAGUAACACGUGGGUAACCUGCCUGUAAGAUUGGGAUAACUCCGGGAAACCGGGGCUAAUACCGGAUAAUACUUCGAACCGCAUGGUUUGAAGUUGAAAGAUGGUUUCGGCUAUCACUUACAGAUGGACCCGCGGCGCAUUAGCUAGUUGGUGAGGUAACGGCUCACCAAGGCAACGAUGCGUAGCCGACCUGAGAGGGUGAUCGGCCACACUGGGACUGAGACACGGCCCAGACUCCUACGGGAGGCAGCAGUAGGGAAUCUUCCGCAAUGGACGAAAGUCUGACGGAGCAACGCCGCGUGAACGAUGAAGGCCUUCGGGUCGUAAAGUUCUGUUGUUAGGGAAGAACAAGUACCAGAGUAACUGCUGGUACCUUGACGGUACCUAACCAGAAAGCCACGGCUAACUACGUGCCAGCCGCCGCAGAACAC